GUUCAGUCUGCCUUACCUGACUGUCCUGGCCAUACAAAUGUGAAGGACAAGCACUUAAAUGAAACUGAUACUGUUCAAAGUGGAUAGUGCAUUGACCUGCACACCACUGCCACUGGGUGCCAUUUGGGAUUUCUACCCACAGGCUCUGCUUAGGGUAUCCCUCAGGAAGAAGGGAGGUGUGCCCAGAACAAGAUCCAUGGCUCCAAUUUGUUGCACAGCCUUACAAAUGCAAGCAAAUCCUGGCUAAUGGUUCCAACUGGUAGCAGUGGCAUGCUCUGCCCUGCCACAGCAGGGCAGCUGUGUAGCAGUUUCUCCAGAGCUUGGUUUCCCCCGUGGGGUGACCUCUUUCCUAUCUCACUGAGAUAAAUUCUCCAGGAUUCUUGACCUGAUCUGAUGGAGGUGGCAACCAGGCUGCAGUUUUUAAAUCAGUAGUCUCCACACGAGCACACCGUCUAGCACAUAUUGUGCCUUUAAAAAUGAAAUAAACCACACCCCUGAAAUCCA
rnacentral:lncRNA from 1 species